rnacentral:rRNA from 1 species
GAGUUUGAUCGUGGCUCAGGAUGAACGCUAGCGGCAGGCUUAACACAUGCAAGUCGAGGGGUAAGUCAUUUCGGUGACUGAGACCGGCGCACGGGUGCGUAACGCGUAUGUAAUCUACCUUUUACAGGGGGAUAGCCCAGAGAAAUUUGGAUUAAUACCCCAUAGUAUUAUUGAAUGGCAUCAUUUAGUAAUUAAAGUUCCAACGGUAAAAGAUGAGCAUGCGUCCCAUUAGCUAGAUGGUAAGGUAACGGCUUACCAUGGCGACGAUGGGUAGGGGUCCUGAGAGGGAGAUCCCCCACACUGGUACUGAGACACGGACCAGACUCCUACGGGAGGCAGCAGUGAGGAAUAUUGGUCAAUGGGCGCAAGCCUGAACCAGCCAUGCCGCGUGCAGGAUGACGGUCCUAUGGAUUGAAACUGCUUUUGUACGGGAAGAACACUCCUACGUGUAGGAACUUGACGGUACCGUAAGAAUAAGGAUCGGCUAACUCCGUGCCAGCCCGCCG